UAAACCGGAGGAAGGUGGGGAUGACGUCAAAUCAUCAUGCCCCUUAUGACCUGGGCUACACACGUACUACAAUGGCGCAUACAACGAGCUGCAAGAUGGUGACAUCAAGCGAAUCUCUUAAAAUGCGUCUCAGUUCGGAUUGGAGUCUGCAACUCGACUCCAUGAAGUCGGAAUCGCUAGUAAUCGCGGAUCAGCAUGCCGCGGUGAAUACGUUCUCGGGGGUUU
rnacentral:rRNA from 1 species